GGAGAGAUGGCUGAGUGGUUAAAGGCGAUAGACUGUAAAUCUAUUUACUAAGUUGUAAUCGUGGGUUCGAAUCCUACUCUCUUCA
rnacentral:tRNA from 1 species